rnacentral:lncRNA from 1 species
AAUAGUCCCACAUCGGAUGGGAAAGGGGUUGUCAUUGGGUUUAUAUGAGACUUAGACACUAGUAAUAAUAACUGGGCUUAAGCAUUUUGGGCUGUUGGCUGGGCCCAACGAGUUAUUGUUGCUAGUGGGCUGGGUCGUUACAUUUGGUAUCAGAGCCGGUUCACCAGCUGGACAUGUGUGGCGAGUCUCGGCUGAGCCAGGGUCUGGAUAACGGGCUAGCGAGACGAGUCUCACAUAGCGUGGUGAUCUUGGGCUGUGUGUGUGAGGACUGACGAGGACGUCAGGGCCUUAACGGGGGGAGUCUGUGACAUCCCAAUAGUCCCACAUCGGAUGGGAAAGGGGUUGUCAUUGGGUUUAUAUGAGACUUAGACACUAGUAAUAAUAACUGGGCUUAAGCAUUUUGGGCUGUUGGCUGGGCCCAACGAGUUAUUGUUGCUAGUGGGCUGGGUCGUUACAA